rnacentral:RNase_P_RNA from 1 species
CCAGCAGGCUGGGUGAUCGCUCCCCGCUAAGGCGAGGAGAGGAAGGUCCGAGCUCCACCGGGCAGCGCGCUGGGUAACGCCCAGGCGGGGCAACCCGACGGAAAGUGGCACAGAAACAUACCGUCCUUCCACGGAAGGACAAGGGUGAAAUGGUGGGGUAAGAGCCCACCGGCUUCGGCGUGAGCCGGAGGCCGGCUAAACCCCGCGCGGAGCAAGGCCAAAUAGGGGAGUGCUAAGGGCGCCCGGCCCAAACUCCCGGGUUGGCUGCUAGAGGCGGUGGGUAACCGCCGUCCCAGAUUGAUGAUCGCCGUCCUUCUUCGGAAGGAUACAGAACUCGGCCUACAGGCCUGCUGGGCCU